rnacentral:rRNA from 1 species
GCGGAAUUUCCGCCCCCGCCAGAGGACCCCCUAACUCUGUUUCUAUAAUGUUUCUUCUGAGUAAACAAGCAAAUAAAUUAAAACUUUCAACAACGGAUCUCUUGGCUCCGGCAUCGAUGAAGAACGCAGCGAAAUGCGAUAAGUAAUGUGAAUUGCAGAAUUCAGUGAAUCAUCGAAUCUUUGAACGCACAUUGCGCCCGCCAGUAUUCUGGCGGGCAUGCCUGUUCGAGCGUCAUUACAACCCUCAGGCCCCCGGGCCUGGCGUUGGGGAUCGGCGGAAGCCCCCUGCGGGCACAACGCCGUCCCCCAAAUACAGUGGCGGUCCCGCCGCAGCUUCCAUUGCGUAGUAGCUAACACCUCGCAAACGCGGAAAUUU